GGGAGUAUGGCUCAAGCAGUAGAGUGCAUGCUUAACAUACAUGAGGUCCUGGGUUCAAUCUCCAGUACCUCCU
rnacentral:tRNA from 1 species